AUGGCGACCUUCGCCGGCGCGAAGCCCCACGUGAACGUCGGCACCAUCGGGCACGUCGGCCACGGCAAGACCACGCUCACCGCCGCGAUCACCAAGGUGCUGGCCGAGGCGGGGAGCUUUCAGGUUCAGCCGGUGGCGUACGCCCAGAUCGACAAGCCUCCCGAGGAGGAAGCUAGAGGAAUCGCCGUCUCCAUGGCUCGUGUCGAGUACGAGACCGCUAAGAGGCACUACACCCACGUGGACUGUCCGGGGCAUGCCGACUACGUCAAGAUCAUGAUCACGGGAGCUGCUCAAAUGGAUUGCGGUAUUCUCGUCGUGUCAACUAUGGAUGGCCUGAUGCCACAAACAAGGGAGCAUAUUAUUCUAGCUCGACAGGUUGGUGUGCCAUCACUUGUUUGUUUCUUGAACAAUGUUGAUUUGGUUGGAGAUGAAGAUGAAGAUUUAAUAGAAUUAGUGGAGAUGGAGAUUCGAGAGCUCCUCAGUUUCUACAAGUUCCCCGGCGAUGAGAUUCCUAUCAUCCGUGGAUCUGCUUUGGUAGCCUUGGAAGGAAGAGAUGAGGAGACCGGAAAGAAUGCUAUUUUAAAACUGAUGGAUGCCGUCGAUUCAUACAUCCCAGAUCCUGUGAGGGUGCUUGAUAAGUCUUUCUUGAUGCCAGUUGAAGGAAUUUUCUCAAUUCAGGGUUGUGCUACUGUAGUGACCGGACGUAUUGAACAAGGGAUGAUUGAAACUGGUGAGGAUGUUGAGGUCAUAGGUUUGACGGAGGGCGAUCCCGUGAAGACUACAGUUACUGGUGUUGAGAUGUUCAAAAAGAUGAUAGAUCAUGGUGAGGCUGGUGAAAAUGUUGGACUUCUUCUCCGCGGUCUUAAGCGUGGUGAUGUCCAUCGUGGCCAGGUGGUUUGCAAACCCGGGACUGUAAAGUCAUACAAAAAGUUUGAGGCCCAAAUUUACGUCCUUACCAAGGAUGAAGGUGGUCGCCACACUGCCUUCUUCUCCAAUUACAGACCACAAUUCUACUUCAGGACAGCUGAUAUCGGUGGGAAAAUCGAGUUGCCUCCGGACGUGAAAAUGGUUAUGCCUGGUGACAAUAUAACUGCAAUCUUCGAGUUGAUGUUGCCUGUUCCACUCGAACCAGGCCUAAGAUUUGCACUAAGGGAAGGAGGAAGGACCGUCGGCGUCGGAGUCGUCACUGAAGUCAUGAGCUAA
rnacentral:rRNA from 1 species